UGAGCUAUGUCUCCAGCUCAAGAUAAAUCUUUUCGGGGCUGGGGAGAUGGCUCAG
rnacentral:miRNA from 1 species